GAACCUACCCUGUGCGUUCCUCCGCGGC
rnacentral:sRNA from 1 species